UAGGGAAUCUUCCACAAUGGACGCAAGUCUGAUGGAGCAACGCCGCGUGAGUGAAGAAGGGUUUCGGCUCGUAAAGCUCUGUUGUUGGUGAAGAAGGACAGGGGUAGUAACUGACCUUUGUUUGACGGUAAUCAAUUAGAAAGUCACGGCUAACUACGUGCCAGCAGCCGCGGUAAUACGUAGGUGGCAAGCGUUGUCCGGAUUUAUUGGGCGUAAAGCGAGUGCAGGCGGCUCGAUAAGUCUGAUGUGAAAGCCUUCGGCUCAACCGGAGAAUUGCAUCAGAAACUGUCGAGCUUGAGUACAGAAGAGGAGAGUGGAACUCCAUGUGUAGCGGUGAAAUGCGUAGAUAUAUGGAAGAACACCGGUGGCGAAGGCGGCUCUCUGGUCUGUUACUGACGCUGAGGCUCGAAAGCAUGGGUAGCGAACAGGAUUAGAUACCCUGGUAGUCCAUGCCGUAAACGAUGAGUGCUAAGUGUUGGGAGGUUUCCGCCUCUCAGUGCUGCAGCUAACGCAUUAAGCACUCCGCCUGGGGAGUACGACCGCAAGGUUGAAACUCAAAGGAAUUGACGGGGGCCCGCACAAGCGGUGGAGCAUGUGGUUUAAUUCGAAGCAACGCGAAGAACCUUACCAGGUCUUGACAUCCAUAGCCAGUCUAAGAGAUUAGAUGUUCCCUUCGGGGACUAUGAGACAGGUGGUGCAUGGCUGUCGUCAGCUCGUGUCGUGAGAUGUUGGGUUAAGUCCCGCAACGAGCGCAACCCUUGUCAUUAGUUGCCAGCAUUAAGUUGGGCACUCUAAUGAGACUGCCGGUGACAAACCGGAGGAAGGUGGGGAUGACGUCAAGUCAUCAUGCCCCUUAUGACCUGGGCUACACACGUGCUACAAUGGACGGUACAACGAGAAGCGACCCUGUGAAGGCAAGCGGAUCUCUGAAAGCCGUUCUCAGUUCGGAUUGCAGGCUGCAACUCGCCUGCAUGAAGCUGGAAUCGCUAGUAAUCGCAAAUCAGCACGUUGCGGUGAAUACGUUCCCGGGCCU
rnacentral:rRNA from 1 species